UACGUAGGGUGCAAGCGUUGUCCGGAAUUAUUGGGCGUAAAGAGCUCGUAGGCGGUUCGUCGCGUCGGCUGUGAAAACCUGAGGCUCAACCUCAGGCCUGCAGUCGAUACGGGCGGACUUGAGUACUGCAGGGGAGACUGGAAUUCCUGGUGUAGCGGUGAAAUGCGCAGAUAUCAGGAGGAACACCGGUGGCGAAGGCGGGUCUCUGGGCCGAUACUGACGCUGGGGAGCGAAAGCGUGGGGAGCGAACAGG
rnacentral:rRNA from 1 species